rnacentral:rRNA from 1 species
AUGGCGCCGGCGCCGCUGCCCCUGCUCGUCGCCGCCUUCUCCCUGCUCUUCGCGGCGGCGACUCCGAUCAGGGACGUCGCCGACGCCUGCUCCUCGCAAGUGCAGGCUGCAGAUUUCGAGCACCUGAACAGCUCCGCCAUGCACCUCCCGCUGCACCACUCGCGGGGCCCCUGCUCGCCGGUGUCGGCCCCGUCGGACCUCCCCUUCUCGGCGGUGCUCACCCACGACGACUCCCGCAUCGCGUCCCUGGCCGCGCGCCUCGCCAAGGCGCCGUCGUCGUCGUCCUCGGCGCGCCCCACGGUCACGGUGGCCUCGCUCUACCGGGCGAACGACGAGGUCGACGGCGUCGCGGCCUCCCUGGCGUCCGUGCCGCUCACGCCGGGCACGUCGUACGGCGUGGGCAACUACGUGACCCGCAUGGGCCUGGGCACCCCGGCCAAGCCGUACAUCAUGGUGGUGGACACGGGGUCCUCCCUCACCUGGCUCCAGUGCUCCCCCUGCCGGGUGUCGUGCCACCGCCAGUCCGGCCCGGUGUUCGACCCCAAGACGUCCAGCUCCUACGCCGCCGUCUCCUGCUCCACGCCGCAGUGCAACGACCUCUCCACCGCCACGCUCAACCCGGCGGCCUGCUCCUCCUCCGACGUCUGCAUCUACCAGGCCAGCUACGGCGACAGCUCCUUCUCCGUGGGCUACCUCAGCAAGGACACCGUCUCCUUCGGCUCCAACAGCGUGCCCAACUUCUACUACGGGUGCGGGCAGGACAACGAGGGCCUCUUCGGCCGCUCCGCCGGCCUCAUGGGCCUGGCCCGCAACAAGCUCUCGCUGCUCUACCAGCUCGCGCCCACCCUCGGCUACUCCUUCUCCUACUGCCUCCCCUCCUCCUCCUCCUCCGGCUACCUCUCCAUCGGCUCCUACAACCCGGGCCAGUACUCCUACACGCCCAUGGUCUCCAGCACGCUCGACGACUCGCUCUACUUCAUCAAGCUCUCCGGGAUGACCGUCGCCGGCAAGCCGCUGGCCAUCUCCUCCUCCGAGUACUCCAGCCUGCCCACCAUCAUCGACUCCGGCACGGUCAUCACGCGCCUGCCCACCACCGUCUACGACGCCCUCAGCAAGGCGGUGGCGGGGGCCAUGAAGGGGACCAAGCGCGCCGACGCCUACUCCAUCCUCGACACGUGCUUCGUGGGCCAGGCCUCGAGCCUGCGCGUCCCGGCGGUCAGCAUGGCCUUCUCCGGCGGCGCGGCGCUCAAGCUGUCGGCGCAGAACCUGCUCGUCGACGUGGACAGCUCCACGACGUGCCUCGCCUUCGCGCCCGCCAGGAGCGCCGCCAUCAUCGGCAACACCCAGCAGCAGACGUUCAGCGUCGUCUACGACGUCAAGAGCAACAGGAUCGGCUUCGCCGCCGGCGGCUGCAGAUAA